UAGUUGGUUCCUCUUCUUGUUUUAUUUUUUUAUAUAUGUGUGCACCUUGUCUCUUACAGUUUUUUUUCUGAAAAGAAAAAAAGAAAAGGAAAAAGAGACAAGAUGAGAAAAAUUAAAAAAAAAACAAACAACAAAAAGAAAAAAUGAAAAAAAAAUUGUGAAUAAUGGAGUCAAGAAGAGGAUUGAAUUAGAGGUUUUGGGUGUGAUUUGACUGUGUUUUCACUUGUUCCCCAUUGCUCCUCUAUUUCUUUUGGCUUAUAGCUUCUCAUCCAUAUGUUAUCCUGCCUUGUCCUUGG
rnacentral:lncRNA from 1 species